rnacentral:misc_RNA from 1 species
UAAUAAAUUAUACUUAUUUAAAUAGUAAGAAUUAAAAGUAAAGUUUUUAAAUAUAUUUGUAAAAAUGUAUAUAUAUUAAUAAUAUUGAUUAGAAUUAAUAUAUUAUUUCAAUAUUUAAACAUUAUUU